ensembl:lncRNA
CUCAUAAAUCUUGACUUCCUAGCACAAAGAAAUGCUGAUUUACCUGUAAUUUCCGAAAUGUCUUUGAACAAAUAAAAUUUCAUGUUGAAACCUGGAGCCUCAAGAAGCAGCUAGAUAACCAGGAAACAUGCAUUUCUUGGCUCCCUCCCAAACCUACAGAAAGGACAGUAAAUGAAUAAAAAGAUGUAACCUGAAGGACAGAGAAAAUCCAAGAGGCAUAGGCUGUGGAAACUGUCAUUUUUGGAAGAUACAACAUGCAGGGACAGUGAUGGCUACCUUGGCACAGAAUUUGAACACUGAAGUGCCCCCAGGGGGAGAUGCCAGCCAGACACAUUGGCCCCUGCUUCCCAAACAGGCUCAGAAGCCGAAGGCACAGGGUCUGGGAAGGCCACGAUGGGGGUAAAGACAGGAGUGCCAGGUGAGUGUCUAUAAGGAACCCUGAGACCCUCAUCCCCUGACCCCACGCUAUACAGACAAGUGACUGCUCUCCUCCUGCCCUGGCAGGAGACAUGAAGUUUAUUCAAAAUACAAGAACUAGAAAAGGAACAGGCCCCCAUCUGCAGCAUACACACACACACACACACUUUGGAUUCAACUUUUAAAUGGGGGGCUUGUUUCUGCCUGCCAUGUUCCCUUCCUUGAGAUGAGUUCUGUAUGCUCAAUAGAAUCACAGUUCUGAGUUCCCCAGUGUUUUUGUGGAGAGAUCACCACUGCCAUCUGAAGGUGGCAGAAAGGACCCCUGGGAAGGACUUUCGAUCACCCUGGCUCAGGAGUUUGGAUUUUAUCUGCUUACUCAAAGGUCCCAAACUAGUUCUGAGGCCCAGAACCACGGUUAAAAGAUGCUGCUUGGCCUGCAGACUUUAGAAACCGGUUGCAAACUGCCAGUACUUUAAAGGUAAGAGAUUUCACAUUUACACAUCUGGACUCCUGGCUUCUCUUGAGAAAUCUGAGAUGAGGUGUCUCUGGGCCGCAUUCCAGGUGCCAAUGAGGGGCUGGGUCACUAACACCAUUUAACAUACGAAUGGUGUUUCUGAACCUCCCUUAGACUGCCUGCUAGACUCCUACCCUCGGCUCCUACCCUCACUCAAGGUCCUCCCCUUAGGCAUCUGAGUUUUCCCUUCAGCCCUAAGCAAUGCAGAACCAUUAGAACUUCUUAAACAGAAGAGGGCUAGGAGUGGCUGUUUCAGCAGCAGCAAGGAAGGGUGGAUGAAUGAAUGGAUACAGAGGGAAGCUACUUGGAUUAGUUAGGAAGGCUAGGAAACCACAGC